rnacentral:rRNA from 1 species
CAUGUAGGCGGCAUGACAAGUCUGGUGUGAAAUAUCUCGGCUCAACCGAGAAAACGCACUGGAAACUGUCAAGCUUGAGUAUCGGAGGGGAAGCUAGAAUUCCUGGUGUAGGGGUGGAAUCUGUAGAUAUCAGGAAGAAUACCGGUGGCGAAGGCGAGCUUCUGGCCAGAUACUGACGCUGAGAUGCGAAAGCGUGGGGAGCGAACAGGAUUAGAUACCCUGGUAGUCC